AUUUGCUGCUAUUAACUAUGAGCAGUUAUAAUUUCUUACAUUUUUGGGAACACCUGAACGUCUCAAAGACGAACCCCCUGCAGAUUUAGCUGUUACGCCCCGUAGCUUCGCCACAGUCUGUCACCAGCAAGACUCGUGUGUGUGUGGCAGAGCUGAGACUGUGGGAGCUGACGAACCUUUCUUUAUGUUCAAAAAUCCAGAACAUGCCAAUAAAGAGGCGUCAGAGACUCGACAUU